GACCCGUCUUGAAACACGGACCAAGGAGUUUAACAUGUACGCGAGUCAUUGGGUUCUACGAAACCUAAAGGCGCAGUGAAAGUAAAGAUCUCCAUUGUGUGAGAUUGAGGUGUGAUCUGUGCUCUCAAGGGAGUGCGGCGCAACACCGGCUCGUCCUAUACAUUUUAUGUGGGGCGAAGCAAGAGCGUAUAUGUUGAGACCCGAAAGAUGGUGAACUAUGCUUGCGUAGGUUGAAGCCAGAGGAAACUCUGGUGGAGGACCGAAGCGAUUCUGACGUGCAAAUCGAUCGUCAAACGUGAGUAUAGGGGCGAAAGACUAAUCGAACCAUCUAGUAGCUGGUUCCCUCCGAAGUUUCCCUCAGGAUAGCUGGCACUUGCACAGAACAGUUUCAUCCGGUAAAGCGAAUGACUAGAAGUAUUGGGGGUGAAAUGCCCUCAACUUAUUCUCAAACUUGAAAUGGGUGAGAUGCCGAACUCUCUUAAUUGGAGUUUGGUUUAAUGAGGAUGUGAGUGCCCAGUGGGCCAUUUUUGGUAAGCAGAACUGGCGAUGCGGGAUGAACCGAACGCAUUGUUAAGGCGCCCAAAUAAACGACGCAUCAUCGAUACCAUGAAAGGUGUUGAUUGCUGAAGACAGCAGGACGGUGGACAUGGAAGUUGUCAUCCGCUAAGGAGUGUGU
rnacentral:rRNA from 1 species